AGUCACUGGAAACCAGUGUUGGUCGUGACUGAGCAGUCCUCAUGGGAGGGUGGCAAAGCAGUGAUCUGAAGCAUGCUUGAGGCAAGGUUUGUGAAGAGAAGAGACUCCACCAAACACUGGCCCUUCUGGGGAAGUGUGGGCAAGGUGUGAGCAGAGAAAGGACAGCUUCCCUGGGAGCUCUCUCAGCUCCAGUGACCUCCUUAGCUUCCCCUGGCACCCUCUAAGCAACUCCACAGACAGGUCUGGGAUCAAGGGCAGUCUUCCCCUUCCCAUCCCCCUUUGGAUCAAGCUGGGCCUUGUUUUAAGUGCUGGACAGAAGGUGGGCCAAAUGUGAUUUGGAAGCCUAGAUGGGACAAUGGAGCAGCACAGGAGGGUUAUUCGGGUGUCUGGAGACUCUCUUGGCACUACACAUAGUCACCAAGUUCUCUGAAGGCAGGUGCCUUCAACAACUCUAAUGUGCCAGCUGUGAGACAUUCAGACAGUAUUAUUCACGCAGUAGGUGCUCCAAGUGUGAACCUAAUCGAUGUUGAUGAUGGUGUUAAUGAAGAAGAUGAUGAUGGCAACCAUAAAAAUAAAAAUAAAAAAAUCUCAGUCUUCAAAGAGAAGAACCUAAGGAGUUUGAAAGAACAUGUUUUCAAGCACCUGGGCAAUAAAUUUUCUCUUAUCAGCUUGA